rnacentral:rRNA from 1 species
AUUGAACGCUGGCGGCAUGCCUUACACAUGCAAGUCGAACGGCAGCACGGGAGCAAUCCUGGUGGCGAGUGGCGAACGGGUGAGUAAUAUAUCGGAACGUGCCCAGUCGUGGGGAUAACGUAGCGAAAGCUACGCUAAUACCGCAUACGAUCUAUGGAUGAAAGCGGGGGAUCGCAAGACCUCGCGCGAUUGGAGCGGCCGAUAUCAGAUUAGGUAGUUGGUGAGGUAAAGGCUCACCAAGCCGACGAUCUGUAGCUGGUCUGAGAGGACGACCAGCCACACUGGGACUGAGACACGGCCCAGACUCCUACGGGAGGCAGCAGUGGGGAAUUUUGGACAAUGGGCGCAAGCCUGAUCCAGCAAUGCCGCGUGCAGGAUGAAGGCCUUCGGUUGUAAACUGCUUUUGUUACGGAACGAAACGGUGAGCUCUAAUACAGUUUGCUAAUGACGUACCGUAA